UCCCUGGUGGUCCAGUGGUUAAGACUCUGCACCCUUGCUGCUGAGGGCCCAGGUUCGAUCCCUGGUCAGGGAA